rnacentral:rRNA from 1 species
GUGGGGAAUUUUGGACAAUGGGCGCAAGCCUGAUCCAGCCAUGCCGCGUGCAGGAUGAAGGCCUUCGGGUUGUAAACUGCUUUUGUACGGAACGAAACGGCUCUUUCUAAUAAAGAGGGCUAAUGACGGUACCGUAAGAAUAAGCACCGGCUAACUACGUGCCAGCAGCCGCGGUAAUACGUAGGGUGCGAGCGUUAAUCGGACUUACUGGUCGUAAAGCGUGCGCAGGCGGUUUUGUAAGACAGACGUGAGAUCCCCGGGCUCAAACUGGGAAUUGAGCUGGGGACUGCAAGGCUGGAGUGCGGCAGAGGGGGAUGGAAUUCCGCGUGUAGCAGUGAAAUGCGUAGAUAUGCGGAGGAACACCGAUGGCGAAGGCAAUCCCCUGGGCCUGCACUGGCGCUCAUGCACGAAAGCGUGGGGAGCAAACAGGAUUAGAUACCCGGGUAGUCC